GAUGAACGCUGGCGGCGUGCCUAAUACAUGCAAGUCGAGCGAACGGACGAGAAGCUUGCUUCUCUGAUGUUAGCGGUGGACGGGAGAGUAACACGUGGAUAACCUCCCUAUAAGACUGGGAUAACUUCGGGAAACCGGCGCUAAUACCGGAUAAUAUCUUGAACCGCAUGGUUCAAUAGUGAAUGACGGUCUUGCUGUCACUAAUCGAUGGAUCUGGGCUGCAUUAGAUAGUUGGUAAGUUCACGGCUUAUCAAGGCAACGAUGCAUAGCCGACGUGCGAGGGUGAUCGGCCGCACGAGAACGGAGCCGCGGACCAGGCGCCUACGGGAGGCAGCAGUAGGGAAUCGUCCGCAGUAGUCGGAAGCCUUGCGGAACAACGCCGCGUGAGUGGUGGAAGUCCUCGGAUCGGAAUACUCUGUUAUUAGGUAAGAACAGAUUUGUAAGUAGCUGAACACAGCGUGACGGUACCUAGUCAGAAAGCCACGGCUAACUACGUG
rnacentral:rRNA from 1 species